GGGUUUGAUCCUGGCUCAGGAUGAACGCUGGCGGCGUGCUUGACACAUGCAAGUCGAACGAACCGGUUCGAGGUGGAAGCGCUCGAUGGGGUGGAUGGUGAGAAAUCUCUUGAACCCCCUGAAAGCGUAGAAGCCUUAUUGCCGGUUAGUGGCAACGGGUGAGUAACACGUGGGUAAUCUGCCUCAAAGUGGGGAACAACCGCUCGAAAGGGUGGCUAAUUCCGCAUGUGGUCCAGCUUUGCUGGAAGAAAGAGACUUGUCUCGCUUUGAGAUGAGCCCGCGGCCGAUUAGCUAGUUGGUGGGGUAAUGGCCCACCAAGGCGACGAUCGGUAGCUGGUCUGAGAGGAUGAUCAGCCACACUGGGACUGAGACACGGCCCAGACUCCUACGGGAGGCAGCAGUGAGGAAUAUUGCACAAUGGGGGAAACCCUGAUGCAGCAACGCCGCGUGAGCGAAGAAGGCCUUCGGGUUGUAAAGCUCUUUUCUAGGGGAUGAGGAAGGACAGUACCUUAGGAAUAAGUCUCGGCUAACUACGUGCCAGCAGCCGCGGUAAAACGUAGGAGGCGAGCGUUAUCCGGAUUUAUUGGGCGUAAAGGGCAAGUAGGCGGUAGCCAAAGUUGGACGUGACAUCUCCCGGCUCAACUGGGAGGAUGCGUUCAAUACUGGGUUACUUGAGGGCAGGAGAGGGAGGCGGAACUCCUAGUGUAGCGGUGGAAUGCUCAGAUACUAGGAAGAACACCAGUGGCGAAGGCGGCCUCCUGGCCUGUUCCUGACGCUGAGAGGCGAAAGCUAGGGGAGCAAACGGGCUUAGAUACCCCGGUAGUCCUAGCUGUAAACGGUGGAUACUAGGUAUUGGGAGUGAUUAAGCUCUCUGUGCCAAAGCUAACGCGUUAAGUAUCCCGCCUGGGGACUACGGCCGCAAGGUUAAAACUCAAAGGAAUUGACGGGGACCCGCACAAGCAGCGGAGCGUGUGGUUUAAUUCGAUGCGACACGAAGAACCUUACCUGGGCUUGACAUGUACGUAGUAGGGAACCGAAAGGGGACCGAGCCUUCGGGCAGCGUACACAGGUGCUGCAUGGCUGUCGUCAGCUCGUGCCGUGAGGUGUCAGGUUAAGUCCUGCAACGAGCGCAACCCUCGUCGCUAGUUAUACGUGUCUAGCGAGACUGCCGGCAUAUAACCGGAGGAAGGUGGGGAUGACGUCAAGUCAGCAUGGCCUUUAUGUCCAGGGCUACACACACGCUACAAUGGCCGGUACAAUGGGAAGCCAAGCCGCGAGGCGGAGCCAAUCCCCCAAAACCGGCCUCAGUUCAGAUUGUAGGCUGCGACUCGCCUGCAUGAAGUUGGAGUUGCUAGUAACCGCAGGUCAGCAAUACUGCGGUGAAUACGUUCCCGGGUCUUGUACACACCGCCCGUCACGUCAUGGAAGCUGGCAAUACCUGAAGUCGGUGAGCUAACCGAAAGGGGGCAACCGCCGAGGGUAGGGCUAGUGACUGGGACGAAGUCGUAACAAGGUA
rnacentral:rRNA from 1 species